rnacentral:rRNA from 1 species
CCUACGGGCGGCAGCAGUGGGGAAUUUUGCGCAAUGCUCGUAAGAGUGACGCAGCGACGCCGCGUGAAUGACGAAAGCCUUCGGGUCGUAAAGUUCUUUCGACAGGGAAGAAAAUGCAUACAAGUAACGGUGUAUGUAUUGACGGUACCUAUAUGAGCAGCCCCGGCUAACUCCGUGCCAGCAGCCGGGGUAAUACGGAGGGGGCGUGCGUUGUGCGGAGUGACUGGGAGUAAAGAGCACGUAGGCGGUGUUGUAAGUCAUUAGUCAAAGACUAGAGCUCAACUUUAGUAAGGCUAGUGAUACUAUAAUACUAGAGUAUCAGAGAGGAUUGUAGAAUUCCUGGUGUAGCGGUGAAAUGCGUAGAUAUCAGGAGGAAUACCGUUAGCGAAGGCGGCAAUCUGGCUGGAAACUGACGCUGAGGUGCGAAAGCGUGGGUAGCAAACAGGAUUAGAUACCCGGGUAGUC